rnacentral:rRNA from 1 species
AUAUCAGUCAUGCAUAGCAUAUCAAUAAGCGGAGGAAAAGAAACUAACAAGGAUUCCCUUAGUAACGGCGAGUGAAGCGGGAAGAGCUCAAAUUUGAAAUCUUCAAGGUUUUACCUUGACGGAUUGUAGUUUAAAGAAGUGUUUUCUGUUGAAGUUUUGGUAAAAGUUCUUUGGAAUAGGACAUCAUAGAGGGUGAGAAUCCCGUAUUUGACCAUUACUUUCAGCUUUGUGAUACACUUUCAAAGAGUCGGAUUGUUUGGGAAUGCAGUCCAAAAUGGGUGGUAAAUUUCAUCUAAAGCUAAAUAUUGGCGAGAGACCGAUAGCGAACAAGUACCGUGAGGGAAAGAUGAAAAGAACUUUGAAAAGAGAGUUAAACAGUACGUGAAAUUGUCAAAAGGGAAGCGUUUGACACCAGUGUUGUUUUCUCGAAAAUCAAUUAAAAAGAGUUGGAUUUUGUGUUGUAUUGACUUUAUCAGCUUUCUUCACUCUUUUCCAGCUUUUUUUAAUGCACUUUUCGUUUAACAAGUCAACAUCAGUUUCUUUUGUUGUAAAAAGGUCAUUGGAAGGUGGCUUUCUCUUCGGAGAAAGUGUUUAUAGCCUUUGACUCAUGCAAUCGGAGAGACUGAGGUCUGCAGCGUAGAUCCUUCGGGGUUAGAUACAUUUGUGCUAAGUUAUAGCUUUUCAUAGACAACUUGUUGACUAUGUUUAGUCUUGUAGCUUACUCGCUUAUGCUAUUUUACCUACGCUUAGGAUGUUGAACUCUAUCACACACAG